UGGGGAAUAUUGCACAAUGGGGGAAACCCUGAUGCAGCGACGCCGCGUGAGCGAAGAAGGCUUUCGAGUCGUAAAGCUCUGUCCUAUGAGAAGAUAAUGACGGUAUCAUAGGAGGAAGCCCUGGCUAAAUACGUGCCAGCAGCCGCGGUAAUACGUAUGGGGCGAGCGUUGUCCGGAAUUAUUGGGCGUAAAGGGUACGUAGGUGGUUUUUUAAGUCAGGUGUCAAAGCGUGGAGCUUAACUCCAUUAAGCACUUGAAACUGAAAGACUUGAGUGAAGGAGAGGAAAGUGGAAUUCCUAGUGUAGCGGUGAAAUGCGUAGAUAUUAGGAGGAAUACCGGUGGCGAAGGUGACUUUCUGGACUUUUACUGACGCUCAGGUACGAAAGCGUGGGGAGCAAACAGG
rnacentral:rRNA from 1 species